GUGCACGCUGGCGGUAGGCCUAACACAUGCAAGUCGAACGGCAGCACAGUAAGAGCUUGCUCUUACGGGUGGCGAGUGGCGGACGGGUGAGGAAUACAUCGGAAUCUACUUUUUCGUGGGGGAUAACGUAGGGAAACUUACGCUAAUACCGCAUACGACCUACGGGCGAAAGCAGGGGAUCUUCGGACCUUGCGCGAUUGAAUGAGCCGAUGUCGGAUUAGCUAGUUGGCGGGGUAAAGGCCCACCAAGGCGACGAUCCGUAGCUGGUCUGAGAGGAUGAUCAGCCACACUGGAACUGAGACACGGUCCAGACUCCUACGGGAGGCAGCAGUGGGGAAUAUUGGACAAUGGGCGCAAGCCUGAUCCAGCCAUACCGCGUGGGUGAAGAAGGCCUUCGGGUUGUAAAGCCCUUUUGUUGGGAAAGAAAAGCAGCAGGUUAAUACCCCGCUGUUCUGACGGUACCCAAAGAAUAAGCACCGGCUAACUUCGUG
rnacentral:rRNA from 1 species